rnacentral:snRNA from 1 species
AUACCUUUCUCGGCCUUUUUGCUAAGAUAAAGUGCAGUAUCUACAGUUUAAUAUUGGGUAUGUAGGCAUAUGCCCACUGUAAUUUUAAAUUUAUUUUUAUUGGGAAAGAUCCAAUUUAAUUUUAAAUUUAUUUUUUGUGGGGAGGGUCUAUGACACUAGCUUGCCAUUGGACCCUUGGGUGU